GUACUCAAGACUAAUUUUUGAUAUAUUAAAAUAAAUAUAAUAUAUACAUAAUUUUCAUAAAAAAUUUAAAAAAUGAAAAAAAUAUUAAAUUUACUGUGAAUAAUAAAAAAUAGCGUUUUUAUAAAAUUUUUAGUCAAUUAAAACCCGUUCUUUAAUGUUAUUUUAUGCUCAUUAAAGACAUCAAAUUUUAAAUGUAAGAAAUAUAAAUAUACCUAUAUCAUUCAUAAUCAUUAAUCAUAAUUAAAAUUUGUAUUGAAUAUAAUUUAUUGACAAAUUCCAAAAUAGACUGGAGACACAACGACAACAAAAUAUGACACGAGCGUCACACGUUAAGGUUAAAAUAUGAUAAUAAUUGUUAAAACCUGGCCAAUUUUCGCGCGCUGUCGCAUAACUUAGCCCGAACGAGUUCAAUAACUCGGUUAAAGUUGUGAACCAGAGAGACAACAGCUGUUGUACCCUCUGCCCUUCGCGUCGUGCACUUUUAUCGCACUCGUCGCCAUUGUCAUUUGUCGGCGGCUCGGCGCGAACCGGCUUUUGCAAUUGACUCACUCAAUUUUUUACCUCGUGACUGUCGAGUUCGCGACAUGACUGGUGUCACCCCGAGUGCGCCCUAAAUUUCUGUGGUUUCCGAAUGUACCUGUCUGUGUACAGCACUACAGCUCCAGCGUUUCCACUGGUUUAACAUCACCGUAAAUAAUACAUUUUUAUACCGAUAUACGCAUUGUUGGCGUAGGUAUUAAAUCCGAACGUAGGCAUCUAGACCGUUCGGUGUCGUAAAAAACCACAUGUUGUGUGCGAGCGGAUGUGCAGAUAACUCCCGUUCGUGUGGUAUCCGCUCACCACAUACUUUCGGCCGAUAUUAUUGAGGUCCAGAAGCCACGCGUCAUGGACGUGUCAGUUUUGCCCGUUCAGAACAGUCUUGGAGGCUAGCCAGGCUAGGCCACGCGGUGUCCGUCGGUCCGACUGUAUCAAGAUCUUGAUAUGCAGUCAAUUGAAGAAGAAAUAAACGCUUAAAUAAACCGAAAAAAAUCAACAAACUGCAAUUACUUCUUGAUAGUGAAAAUUGGUGGCAAAAAGCUAUGCCAUCAGAAUUUCAAAAUUUAGUCGAAUACAUUCAAACUACUGAUCAAUUUCCAACGACUAAAUCAUCACCAAAGAUAAACAUAAUGGCUUUGAACAGACUCAAGUGUCUCAAGUGCCAAUGGUGAGAGUGAAAAAGUAAACGGUAUAAUCGAACAACAUAAUGAAGAUGAAGAAUCCAGAAAUUAUUAUUUAUCGGAUCAAAAACAGUUGUAGUGAUUGUCCGAAUAUAUAAAACAUUUAAGUAAUUGUUAUGUAGAAGUGUGUUCUCAUCAAGAUUUAAAAUUGAAAUCGAUAUUACUUACGUAUUGUGGAAACUAUAGGAACAGAUGUCUGAAUUUUUUUUAGGUAUUUUUUAGUAUUUAAGUUAUAAGUUAUAACUCAUAUACUACCAAUUCGAAUUUCGAUUAUUAUACAUUGAAAUACUCCGAAAAAAAUUCUGCUUCAGAGUAUGAAACUAAAAAUGUAUGUUAUCUUUCAAAAAUGUAAAAAAAACUUUAAAAAUAUAAGAUAAUUUUUAUAAUAGGUAUAUAAAUGUUUUUUUUUACCUAUUUAAAUUAAUAUUUAAAAAUAUUUUCAAAAACGUUAUAAGAUUUAGAAAUUAAAAGAGUGUUGUUCGGUAAAAUAAUCACUCAAUAAAAUAACAUAGUAUUCUAAAUUUUAUCAUUUUUUAAAAGUCGCAUGUCGUAUAAUAAUUAUAACAAUUAUACAAUUAUGUAUAUUAUGUAAUUAUCUAUCUAUUAUAAGUAUGUUAUUUAUUAUAAAUAAAGUUUUACUUCAAUAACUUAGGUUUGAAUGAUGUUAUUAGAUAGUUUUUUUCAACUAUUAAUAUCGUACGUACCUAUAAUUUAUUAUUUCAACAACCUUUACUUGGAUAGAUAUUAGAUAGGUAUUACCGCUGAUGGUAGGUAUCUGAAGCUAUAAUCUAUUUAUAUACAUAUAUAUAUAUAUAUGUACAAUCAGUGGUGUAUUUUCAAUAAUUUCUUGAGGGGGUUUUAAAAUUUUUAAAGCCCUACCUGUGUAAUACAAAUUGCAAUUAAGAUAACGCAGCGAUACUCCUCACCAAAAUAACCCAAGUAACCUGUCUUAAAUAGUUAUAUAGACAGUCUACAUCUUAUCUACCUCGUUAAAUUAUUAGAAAACCCAUAAUAAAAUAUUUAUUUAACAUUAAGUAACUUUUUUUUUUGUUCUGGGGGGGGGGGGUGGGGGUUUGAACCCGAAAACCACCCCCGUAAAUACGCCACUGUAUACAAUUUAAAAUUAGGUGAAUAAAGAACAAAUCAUGAAAACCAAAAAUGAGAUAAAUGGAUUCAAAAUUAUUGUAACAAUUAUAUACUGAUUUUGUUUAUUUAUUUUUUUUUUUGUUUAAUAAAAAUAAAUUAUAAAAUAAUAAACACUAUUAUUGCGCUAAAUUGUUGCUAUGUAACAUUAUCUAGGUAUUAUUUAUCUCUAUUAUGUUAAUAAUAAAAUAUUUUAAAGUCCUUACUAGAAAAUACAAGGGUACACCAUACACGGACUUGUUACAUUAGGUAUACCGUAUACAAAUAUUUCAUUUACCUUAUGAAAUUAUAUUUGUUAUUUUACUUACCUACGAGGCUACGAAAAAAACUUGAAUGCUUCAAACAAGAAUUCUUUAAAUUAAAAAAUUAAAAAACGGUCAUUAAAUCGCACACAUGUCACAUGUGAAAAACUGCUGAAAUAAUACUCACACAAUCGGCGGCUGCUGGGAAAAAACAAAAGACACGACCGUCGUCAGCCAGAUAAGCUCGGUUGUUGGACGGACCGGCAGCGGUGACACGGAAGUGAUGAAAAUCGCAAACGGUCUGGACAAUACAACAUAGAUAAAAUGGGUAUUUUGCAUAUCCCGUGAAAUACGCAUGCGGCUCAAAAAUCAUAUAAAGUAGAAGUAAUUGAAAAACGAAAUCAACUUUUAUAAACGCCUCAAUCUCAAACAGUCAAACAAAUACUGAAAUUACAGUCUGUUGACGGAAAUUCGCGAGUCGCUGUGUCCUGUGGCGUUUUCGGGAAAUAUUUUGGAAAUAUCUAUUAUCUACGUUUAAUACGUACGUACAGUUACGUACAGAGAGGUUAUGGGGUUCUUCAAAGUGGGGAAAUAAAAAGCGCCGUGGAACUAAUAGGAAUUGCUAUUUGGCUGAAUUUGUGUGAAUAACACGUCUCGAGAAACAAGAUGCAUUUCAAGCUAUUUUAAAAGAUAUUUCAGAGUUCUGGCGAUCUGGCCUCCUUUGUAAUUUAACAUAUUUUUUUUACUUUAAAAUUAUAUUACAUUUUUUAAAUUUGAAUUUUAGACUAUUUUUAAUAAUAUUAAAUAUUGAAAUAGUUUUUAAAUUUAUUGUAUUUUUUUGUUUAUUUAUUUAUUUAUGGCGGGACGAUACAUUUUUUACGGGGCACUUUAUCGGUGGGGUGAUAAUAAACAAGUACCGUUGUCAUAUUAUACAGAAAUUGUAAAUUGAAUUUGUCAUAAUAUACUAGUUUUAUGUAA